AAGAAGAUACUAAGGGCGCACGGCGGAUGCCUUGGCACAGGAAGUCGAAGAAGGACGCGGCAAGCUGCGAUAAGCUCCGGGGAGGCGCAAACGGCCUUCGAUCCGGAGAUCUCCGAAUGGGGGAACCCAGCAGGGGUCAUGCCCUGCUACCCGCGCCUGAAUGAAAUAGGGCGCGAGGAGGCAACCCGGGGAACUGAAACAUCUAAGUACCCGGAGGAAGAGAAAUCAACCGAGAUUGCGGGAGUAGCGGCGAGCGAAACCGCACCAGCCCAAACCCAUGCACGUGCAAGCUUGAGGGCGUUGCUGCAUGAGGGGUUGUGGGACCGCGCAUUCCAUGGGCCUCAGACCAUGGACGCAGUUACAAAUCCGCGCGGAAGCGGAACGGCCUGGGAAGGCCGGCGGAACAGGGUGAGAGCCCCGUACGCGAAUCCGCGCGGACUGCGAGUGCGGCGCCCGAGUAGCGCCGGGCACGUGAAACCCGGUGCGAACCUGGGGGGACCACCCUCCAAGGCUGAACACUCUCCUGUGACCGAUAGCGAACCAGUACCGUGAGGGAAAGGUGAAAAGCACCCCGAGAGGGGAGUGAAACAGUACCUGAAACCGUGCGCCUACAAGCAGUCGGAGCCCCCGAGCGGGGUGACGGCGUGCCUUUUGUAGAAUGAGCCAGCGAGUUGCGGUAUGCGGCGAGGUUAAGGUUUGAACCGAGCCGCAGUGAAAGCGAGCCUUUAAGAUGGCGAUAGAGUCGCAUGCUGCAGACGCGAAGCCGGGUGAGCUAUCCAUGGGCAGGCUGAAGCGGGGGUAAGACCCCGUGGAGGGCCGAACCCACUUCGGUUGAAAACGGAGGGGAUGACCCGUGGAUAGGGGUGAAAGGCCAAUCAAACCCGGAGAUAUCUCGUUCUCCCCGAAAUAGCUUUAGGGCUAGCCUCGGCCGUUCUCCGACGGCGGUAGAGCACUGGAUCGUCGAGGGGGCUUCACCGCCUACCGACACGAACCAAACUCCGAAUGCCGCCGGAUCAGAGGCCGGGAGUCAGAACAUGUGGGCUAAGCUGUGUGUUCGAGAGGGAAACAGCCCAGACCGCCCGCUAAGGUCCCCAAAUCCAUGCUGAGUGGCAAAGGAUGUGCGUUUGCCUAGACAACCAGGAUGUUGGCUUAGAAGCAGCCAUGCAUUUAAAGAGUGCGUAACAGCUCACUGGUCAAGUGGACAUGCGCCGACAAUUCACGGGGCUAAGCAUGGUACCGAAGCGGCGGACUAAUCUAUAUUAGUGGUAGGGGAGCUUUCCCCGCAGCGGAGAAGCCGAGAGGGCGACCCUCGGUGGAGCGCGGGGAAGUGAGAAUGCUGGCAUGAGUAACGAGAGCGGCGCGAGAAACGCCGCCGCCGUAAGCCUAAGGGUUCCUGGGCAAGGCUAAUCCUCCCAGGGUCAGUCGGGAGCUAAGGCGAGGCCGAGAGGCGUAGCCGAUGCGCAACAGGCGGACAUUCCUGUACCGCCUGCGGACCGCUAUCACCGACGGGGUGACGGAGAAGGGUAGCCGAGCGGGGUUCUGGACGUCCCCGUGAAAGCGCGUAGGGAGCAUCGCAUGGAAAUCAGCGGCGCAUAUAUCCUGAGACGCGAGACGAAAGCUUAUGCUGAAGUCGGCGAGCCCAUGCUUCCGAGAAAAACCUCUAGGAAGGGACGCAGGCGCCCGUACCAAAACCGACACAGGUGGGCAGGUAGAGCAUACCGAGGCGAUCGGGAGAACCAUGGUUAAGGAACUCGGCAUACUGACUCCGUAACUUCGGGAGAAGGAGUGCCCCUGGCGGUGGAGGGACUAGCUCCCCGAGCGGCCGGGGGUCGCAGCGAAACGGCCCAAGCGACUGUUUAUCAAAAACACAGGACUCUGCAAAGCCGUAAGGCGACGUAUAGGGUCUGACGCCUGCCCGGUGCUGGAAGGUUACGCGGAUGGGUCAGCCG
rnacentral:rRNA from 1 species